UACUCUGGUUUCUCUUCAGAUAGAAUGAAUCUUUUGCCUUUUACUUAGAUUU
rnacentral:snRNA from 1 species